CUGAUACUCUCCUUAGUAUCACCUUGGGCAACCCUUUUCGGGAAAACUUCAUUAAGUAGACGUUGUCCUGGAAUGUGUGAGUGCUCCUGGCUGAGAAUGGGGUUUGAAGAACAGAAACAAGUACCCGGAGCCAAGAAGAAAGUCUGAAUCCAGGAGGUCCCGAGCACAUAUGCGCACAUAUGCAAUCACCAGAUAAAGCAGGCAAGGGUUUCUUUUUUCCUGUGGAAGCAUCGCAAAAAAGUUCAACUUCUCAGGUGUCCUUUAAUGGUUGGUGCUCCUGCUCAUAUCACACCAGGUUACAGGAAUUUUAGGAUUUUUGGAACGGCCUUUUCUACCUCCCUCAGGAUGAUUCCAGCAUGCUACAGAAGAGCCUGAGAACUAAGGUCCCGAAUCUGUUAAAAUCAGGUCUAGUCUCUACUGUCAACCACUGACCCAGAGGUGCUUAAAACCAGAAUCCAAUAUGUGCAUUCGCUCAUCAUUUAAAAUCUUUCUGCUCUACAAGGGAGAAACAUUUUUCUCUCGUAGCCUUAUUAACUGCAGAAAAGAGCAUUUUUAUUCUUAAUUUAUGUUCUGAAAGCAUGUCAGCUUUUGUGUCUGUCAUUUAGAAGCUAUGAUUCACAAACAUGGGUGAGUUCAUUAGCUGCCAAGGCUCAGGUGACUGUUGGGGUGGCCCUUGGUUUGAUGUAAAAGCACAAGUGCCCAUAAUAUCCUGAGAGCCAGCAGAAUGUUUUUAAGCUGCAUAAAAGAGAUUUUGAUAUGAUCUGGAAUUCUUUGGCUAACUGGAGGCCAAAUUGCAUUCAAUGUCUUAAAAGCCAGUAUAAAUGAUUACAGAACAUCCAUUUCUUUAGCAGAUGGUCAUUUGUUUUCACUUUCUGCUUAAUUUAAUGUAAAUAUUCAGAUUGACCUUUGUUUUUCCACAGUCUUACAGAUUGUUCUUGAAAUAUCAUGUCAGAGAAUCUGGCUUAUAGGGUAGCUUUUUAGAACAGUAAUUCUUGCUUUUAAAGGAUCUCAAUUUUAUUACAAAAAUGUAAGAUCACCUUAUAUUGAUUUAACUCUACAUCAGUGAUCACUGAUGAAAAAUAUAAAAUUUGUAAGAGUAAAGGCCACAUUACAUGUAAUCAUGGAAAAGAAGCAGUGAUUGAUGGCGGAAAUGCACAAUGAUCUUCCUUUCAUGGAUAUUGUUUUGCGAAAUUUUGAACUAGAAAUAAAUUAAUGGUUUGGCUUUACCUUUUCUGAUUGGGGGAAUAUUCAUUACAAACUCGUCAGAAUAAAGAGGAAAAAUGUUUUUCUACCUACCAUGUACUUUCUUCAGUUCAGCUAAAGAAUUGACCUAGUUAUCCUUUUGGCUUAGCUGUAGCUGGGGAGGUAGUGCACUUUUUCUUUCAGAGAGUCUUGACUUGUUGGGAAAUAUAGAUGUCCAUUAAUUGAGCUUGGUUCAAAUGUAGAAACCCACUUGAUAAGACCCAUGAUAGUUGACAUACAACCUCUGCUUGCAUACGGUCAGUAAUAUUGAAUUAUUUACUUUUCAAGGAAAUCCAUUUUAUUUUUAAUAACUCUUACUGUAGAAUAUUCUUCUUUUUAAAAUCAAACUUAAAACUGCUUCUCUGUAACUUCCAACCUUUGCAUUUGGUUCUGCUUUCUGGAACAUCAUUGAAUAAACUGAAUUUCACAUGGAG
rnacentral:lncRNA from 10 species